rnacentral:rRNA from 1 species
UACGUAGGGUGCGAGCGUUGUCCGGAAUUAUUGGGCGUAAAGGGCUCGUAGGCGGUCUGUCGCGUCGGGAGUGAAAACUCAGGGCUUAACCCUGAGCCUGCUUCCGAUACGGGCAGACUAGAGGUAUGCAGGGGAGAACGGAAUUCCUGGUGUAGCGGUGAAAUGCGCAGAUAUCAGGAGGGACACCGGUGGCGAAGGCGGUUCUCUGGGCAUUACCUGACGCUGAGGAGCGAAAGUGUGGGGAGCGAACAGG